UACGUAGGGGGCAAGCGUUAUCCGGAUUUACUGGGUGUAAAGGGAGCGUAGACGGUUAUGCAAGUCAGAAGUGAAAGCCCAAAGCUCAACUUCGGGACUGCUUUUGAAACUGUGUAACUAGAGUGCAGGAGGGGUAAGCGGAAUUCCUAGUGUAGCGGUGAAAUGCGUAGAUAUUAGGAGGAACACCGGCGGCGAAGGCGGCUUACUGGACUGUAACUGACGUUGAGGCUCGAAAGCGUGGGGAGCAAGCAGG
rnacentral:rRNA from 1 species